UACGUAGGUGGCAAGCGUUGUCCGGAUUUACUGGGCGUAAAGGGCGUGCAGGCGGUCUGUUAAGUGCAGGGUGAAAGCUCCCGGCUCAACUGGGAGAGGUCCUUGCAUACUGGCGGACUUGAGGGGGGUAGAGGAAAGUGGAAUUCCCGGUGUAGUGGUGAUAUGCGUAGAUAUCGGGAGGAACACCUGUGGCGAAGGCGGCUUUCGUGGGCCCUACCGUCGACUGCU
rnacentral:rRNA from 1 species